rnacentral:rRNA from 1 species
GAUGAACGCUAGCUACAGGCUUAACACAUGCAAGUCGCGGGGCAGCAUGGGGGUUGCUUGCAAUCCCCGAUGGCGACCGGCGCACGGGUGAGUAACGCGUAUCCAGCCUGCCCUUCACCACGGGAUAACCCGGCGAAAGUCGGACUAAUACCGUAUGUUGUCCAUUGACGGCAUCCGAUUUGGACGAAAGGUUUGGCGGUGAAGGAUGGGGAUGCGUCCGAUUAGCUGGACGGCGGGGUGACGGCCCACCGUGGCGACGAUCGGUAGGGGUUCUGAGAGGAAGGUCCCCCACACUGGAACUGAGACACGGUCCAGACUCCUACGGGAGGCAGCAGUGAGGAAUAUUGGUCAAUGGGCGUAAGCCUGAACCAGCCAAGUAGCGUGCAGGAUGACGGCCCUAUGGGUUGUAAACUGCUUUUAUGCGGGGAUAAAGUGGCCCACGUGUGGGUUUUUGCAGGUACCGCAUGAAUAAGGACCGGCUAAUUCCGUG